GACGAACCGUCCAAACGUUAUUCGGAAUUACUGGGCUUAAAGGGUGCGUAGGCGGCGCGGUAAGUUGGGUGUGAAAUCCCUCGGCUCAACCGAGGAAUAGCGCUCGAUACUGUCGUGCUUGAGGGAGACAGAGGUGAGUGGAACUUAGGGUGGAGCGGUGAAAUGCGUUGAUAUCCUAAGGAACACCAGUGGCGAAAGCGACUCACUGGGUCUCUACUGACGCUGAGGCACGAAAGCUAGGGGAGCGAACGGG
rnacentral:rRNA from 1 species